rnacentral:rRNA from 1 species
AAUUCGCCCUUGGAUUAGGCAUGCAAGUCGAACGAGAAAAGUUCCUUUCGGGGACUGAGUAAAGUGGCGUAAGGGUGAGUAAUGCAUAGACAACCUGCCCUGAGAUGGGAAUAACUUUCCGAAAGGGAAGCUAAUGCCCAAUGAGACUACGGGUCGCAUGUCCUGUGGUCAAAGAUAGCUUCGGCCUUCGCUCAGGGAGGGGUCUAUGUCCUAUUAGCUUGUUGGUGGGGUAAUGGCCUACCAAGGCGACGAUGGGUAGCCGACCUGAGAGGGUGGCCGGCCACACUGGGACUGAGACACUGCCCAGACUCCUACGGGAGGCUGCAGUCGAGAAUCUUCCGCAAUGCGCGCAAGCGUGACGGAGCGACGCCGCGUGGGGGAUGAAGGCCUUCGGGUUGUAAACCCCUGUCACUUGGGAAGAAAGGCGAGUAGUUAACAGCUGUCUCGCUUGACGUUACCAGGGAAGGAAGCACCGGCUAAAUACGUGCCAGCAGCCGCGGUAACACGUAUGGUGCAAACGUUGUUCGGAAUUACUGGGCUUAAAGAGCACGUAGGCGGUUGGGAAAGUCUGAUGUGAAAUCCCUCGGCUCAACCGAGGAACUGCAUUAGAUACUUCUCGGCUAGAGUGCGGGAGGGGAGAGUGGAAUUCCUGGUGGAGCGGUGAAAUGCGUAGAUAUCAGGAGGAACGCCGGUGGCGAAAGCGACUCUCUGGCCUGCUACUGACGCUGAGGUGCGAAAGCUAGGGGAGCGAACGGGAUUAGAUACCCCGGUAGUCCUAGCCCUAAACGAUGGGCACUAAGUAGAGGGAAGGGCGAAUUCUGCAGAUAUCCAUCACACUGGCGGCCGCUCGAGCAUGCAUCUAGA